rnacentral:rRNA from 1 species
UUAGUGGCGCACGGGUGCGUAACGCGUGGGAAUCUGCCCUUAGGUACGGAAUAACAGUGAGAAAUUACUGCUAAUACCGUAUGAUGUCUUCGGACCAAAGAUUUAUCGCCUAGGGAUGAGCCCGCGUAGGAUUAGCUAGUUGGUGAGGUAAAGGCUCACCAAGGCUACGAUCCUUAGCUGGUCUGAGAGGAUGAUCAGCCACACUGGGACUGAGACACGGCCCAGACUCCUACGGGAGGCAGCAGUGGGGAAUAUUGGACAAUGGGCGAAAGCCUGAUCCAGCAAUGCCGCGUGAGUGAAGAAGGCCUUCGGGUUGUAAAGCUCUUUUACCCGGGAAGAUAAUGACCGUACCGGGAGAAUAAGCCCCGGCUAACUCCGUGCCAGCAGCCGCGGUAAUACGGAGGGGGCUAGCGUUGUUCGGAAUCACUGGGCGUAAAGCGUGCGUAGGCGGCCAUUCAAGUCAGAGGUGAAAGCCCAGGGCUCAACCCUGGAACUGCCUUU